UGAUAAUUAGUUUAACUAAAACAAAUGAUUUCGACUCAUUAAACUGUAGAUUGUACUACAAUUAUCAA
rnacentral:tRNA from 1 species